rnacentral:rRNA from 1 species
AUUGAACGCUGGCGGCAGGCCUAACACAUGCAAGUCGAGCGAGCGGCGGACGGGUGAGUAAUGUCUGGGAAACUGCCUGAAGGAGGGGGAUAACUAUUGGAAACGGUAGCUAAUACCGCAUACCAUCAGAUGUGCCCAGCUGGGAGUAGCUAGUAGGGGGGGUAACGGCCCACCUAGGCGACGAUACCUAGCUGGUCUGAGAGGAUGACCAGCCACACUGGAACUGAGACACGGGCCAGACUCCUACGGGAGGCAGCAGUGGGGAAUAUUGCGCAAUGGGCGCAAGCCUGAUAAAGCCAUGCCGCGUGUGUGAAGAAGGCCUUCGGGUUGUAAAGCACUUUCAGCAGAGAAGCGUUACCCGCAGAAGAAGCACCGGAUAACUCCGUGCCAGCAGCCGCGGUAAUUC